UGGAAACAGUUUGGGGGCGACCCGUGACUGUUCCAAAAUGACCCACCCAAAUUGCAGGAGGGGGCCGUCUGCUUUCCCUGGGGCUGUCUUGCUGAUCCACUGAGGAGAAUGAAUCUGAACCUCUCUAUCCUGAAGCCUUGAGUUGAAAUGCCUGUCCGGGAAAUUCCGGCCUCAGAUGUCCCUCUGUUCUCUGACCAGGGAUUGAGCCCGGGGCCACAGCGGUGAGAGCUCAGAAUCCUAACCUCCAGGCCACCAGGGAACUCCUCCGCACUGCUGAAGGUGUGAACAUGAUGAAUCAGCGCACGGACAUGAUGAAAGGUACAUUCAUGAAACUAAGUGGUGAUAUCAGGAGAAUGUCAUCUGGGCCAGCUCUGGAGCCUUCUUUUGAAGCAAGUCCGCUCCCCAGGGCUAUAGGAAAACGCGAGCAAGCAGACAGGCCUGGAUGUCUGUCGAUGAUUAAUUAAAGGAGAGAGAAGACACAUCCGAUGCAUUCCUAUUAUAGAACAACAAUUGAAAUAAAUGCAUAGGUUUAUCCACCUUUGAUAUUUUCUUAUGAGAAGACAUCAAGAUUUUCUUCCACCAUUGUAACGAUCCCGUAAACAACAUAAAAUUCAGAUGCUAUUGUGCUGUCAGAUCAUACAAAAUUGCUAUUUUAGGUAUAAAUAGAUUUAAAAAAAACUGAAAAGUCAUCUGAGAAAUUAGAACAGGUGAUAGAAAUGUAUUAUAGGCAAUCUAUUAAGACUUAUGCUUUCAAAGUGUCAUCUUUACAGUUUUACAAAGCAUCCUCUGGGUUUCUGCGAAACUUACUGAAACCACAAUAAUGGAACAUCCCAGGGGUCUGUGGUACUUAGGUAAAGAGAAAGACCACAAAGGUAAUUCUUCCAGGCUGUAACUCAGCAUGCUACAACCCCUUGCUAGGUGGGUAACUUUGUAACUCACAGGGUUCUUAGAACACUGUAGGAUUUGUUUGAUAAAAUCACUGCUUAUGAAUAAGAUGUAAAGGAAGUACAAUAGGGAUGAAGAAUAUAUUUUUCAGUUUUUUGGAAGCAGUGCUAAUGUUUUGGGAAACCAUGAGCAUUGUGGAGUACCUACCAUUGCACAAUAAAUGGAAAUAUAAUGGCUUUCAUCCCUAUUACUUGGAUUUUUAUGUACAGCUUUGAAAAAUGUAAUAAAAUUACAUCAAACUUUUACUUGGAACACUUUUUUUUCAACCUUUGAAUGACUUUUGUUGAAAAUUUCCCAAUGAGAAUCAAAAUAAAAAUCAAACUUUUAAACUUCUAACU